rnacentral:rRNA from 1 species
GCAAGUCGAACGAGAACGGCUCUAGCUUGCUAGAGUGUCAGCUAAGUGGCGCACGGGUGAGUAAUAUAUAGGUAAUCUGCCCCGAAGAGCGGGAUAACGUCUGGAAACGGACGCUAAUACUGCAUAUACCUUUUAACCAUAAGGUUAAAAGGGAAAUGAAUUUCGCUUCGGGAUGAGCCUUUAUCGCAUCAGCUAGUUGGUAAGGUAAGAGCUUACCAAGGCUAUGACGCGUAGCUGAUCUGAGAGGAUGAUC